AGGGAAUAUUGCUCAAUGGGCGAAAGCCUGAAGCAGCAACGCCGCGUGGAGGAUGAAGGUCUUCGGAUUGUAAACUCCUUUUCUAAGAGAAGAUUAUGACGGUAUCUUAGGAAUAAGCACCGGCUAACUCCGUGCCAGCAGCCGCGGUAAUACGGAGGGUGCAAGCGUUACUCGGAAUCACUGGGCGUAAAGAGUUGCGUAGGCGGUUAGUAAAGCGAAUAGUGAAACCUGGUGGCUCAACCAUACAGACUAUUAUUCGAACUCACUAACUCGAGAAUGGUAGAGGUAACUGGAAUUUCUAGUGUAGGAGUGAAAUCCGUAGAUAUUAGAAGGAACACCAAUGGCGUAGGCAGGUUACUGGACCAUUUCUGACGCUAAGGCACGAAAGCGUGGAGAGCGAACC
rnacentral:rRNA from 1 species